rnacentral:rRNA from 1 species
GAUGAACGCUGGCGGCGUGCCUAACACAUGCAAGUCGAACGGAGAUUACGGACGGAAGUUUUCGGAUGGAAGACUGUAAUUCUUAGUGGCGGACGGGUGAGUAACGCGUGGGCAACCUGCCCUAUACAGGGGGAUAGCAGCUGGAAACGGCUGGUAAGACCGCAUAAGUCGGUUAAAUCGCAUGAUUUGAUCGGGAAAUGAGCAAUCAGGUAUAGGAUGGGCCCGCGUCCGAUUAGCCAGUUGGCAGGGUAAAAGCCUACCAAAGCGACGAUCGGUAGCCGGACUGAGGGGUCGGACGGCCACAUUGGGACUGAGACACGGCCCAAACUCCUACGGGAGGCAGCAGUGGGGGAUAUUGCACAAUGGAGGAAACUCUGAUGCAGCGACGCCGCGUGAGUGAAGAAGUAUUUCGGUAUGUAAAGCUCUAUCAGCAGGGAAGAUGAUGACGGUACCUGACUAAGAAGCCCCGGCUAACUACGUG